AAAGAGAGAUCAGAAAUACAAGAGGCAGAGGAAGCAAGGUUAAACAGGAUAAAGGAAAUUAAAGCACAGCAUAGCCAAAGAUAUUGAUUAUGACUGAGUUGUAGGUGUCAUAUUAUUUUUGUAUUGCAAUCCCACCAAAUUUACUUGACGACAUGUUAUAAGAGUUGGCUACAUGCA